rnacentral:rRNA from 1 species
GACGAACGCUGGCGGCGUGCCUAAUACAUGCAAGUAGAACGCUGAAGAGAGGAGCUUGCUCUUCUUGGAUGAGUUGCGAACGGGUGAGUAACGCGUAGGUAACCUGCCUUGUAGCGGGGGAUAACUAUUGGAAACGAUAGCUAAUACCGCAUAACAAUGGAUGACACAUGUCAUUUAUUUGAAAGGGGCAAAUGCUCCACUACAAGAUGGACCUGCGUUGUAUUAGCUAGUAGGUGAGGUAACGGCUCACCUAGGCGACGAUACAUAGCCGACCUGAGAGGGUGAUCGGCCACACUGGGACUGAGACACGGCCCAGACUCCUACGGGAGGCAGCAGUAGGGAAUCUUCGGCAAUGGGGGCAACCCUGACCGAGCAACGCCGCGUGAGUGAAGAAGGUUUUCGGAUCGUAAAGCUCUGUUGUAAGUCAAGAACGAGUGUGAGAGUGGAAAGUUCACACUGUGACGGUAGCUUACCAGAAAGGGACGGCUAACUACGUGCCAGCAGCCGCGGUAAUACGUAGGUCCCGAGCGUUGUCCGGAUUUAUUGGGCGUAAAGCGAGCGCAGGCGGUUUGAUAAGUCUGAAGUUAAAGGCUGUGGCUCAACCAUAGUUCGCUUUGGAAACUGUCAAACUUGAGUGCAGAAGGGGAGAGUGGAAUUCCAUGUGUAGCGGUGAAAUGCGUAGAUAUAUGGAGGAACACCGGUGGCGAAAGCGGCUCUCUGGUCUGUAACUGACGCUGAGGCUCGAAAGCGUGGGGAGCGAACAGGAUUAGAUACCCUGGUAGUCCACGCCGUAAACGAUGAGUGCUAGGUGUUGGAUCCUUUCCGGGAUUCAGUGCCGCAGCUAACGCAUUAAGCACUCCGCCUGGGGAGUACGACCGCAAGGUUGAAACUCAAAGGAAUUGACGGGGGCCCGCACAAGCGGUGGAACAUGUGGUUUAAUUCGAAGCAACGCGAAGAACCUUACCAGGUCUUGACAUCCCGAUGCUAUUUCUAGAGAUAGAAAGUUACUUCGGUACAUCGGUGACAGGUGGUGCAUGGUUGUCGUCAGCUCGUGUCGUGAGAUGUUGGGUUAAGUCCCGCAACGAGCGCAACCCCUAUUGUUAGUUGCCAUCAUUCAGUUGGGCACUCUAGCGAGACUGCCGGUAAUAAACCGGAGGAAGGUGGGGAUGACGUCAAAUCAUCAUGCCCCUUAUGACCUGGGCUACACACGUGCUACAAUGGUUGGUACAACGAGUUGCGAGUCGGUGACGGCAAGCUAAUCUCUUAAAGCCAAUCUCAGUUCGGAUUGUAGGCUGCAACUCGCCUACAUGAGGUCGGAAUCGCUAGUAAUCGCGGAUCAGCACGCCGCGGUGAAUACGUUCCCGGGCCU